ensembl:lncRNA
GUGGGGUUGUCCAACUGGAAGAGAAGAUGGGAAGGACAGGGAAGUCUUCAUAGACUGAGGUGUUGCCUGGCCAGAGUCCAUUCUCUCUUCUUCCAGAAAUAGACCCCCAAUUCCCUUUAGGGAACCAUCUCUCACCCACCCUCUGUCCUCAUAGUUCAUGCUGGGUUCCACCCCCAUCCUAGGCCGAUCAACAACCUGGUCUCCCUCAGGACUGUUUAUAUAGCAUGCACAUUUAUGACUGUUGCGGGAGUGGUUAUAUGAUCAGGCCUGGCCUAUCGCUGGAUACAGAAAUUGGUUCCAGAGUGGACAUUUGAUCCAAUCAGAGUGAAAUAGGAAGUGGGCAGAAGUUAUCAGAAGUCCGGAAGACAGGCUUUCUUUCUGCUGGCCUUGAACCGGAAGUAAUAAGCCUGGAGCUGCCAGGAGCCGGUGUGUAGGGAGGGCAGUGCCAGAGCGAAGCAAACCAGAGACAGGCCAGCCUGCAAACUGAAGAGAGGCCAGGUCCUGGGGACAUGGAGGAGCCACGAGGCUUUGGGUAAGCCUGUUCAGAAGGUUGUUUACUCAUUGAGGUCACCUUCGACAGAAGGGCCUGACUGCUUGGUCAGAGGGGAGGACAGGGGAAGGUACAGAGGAGAGGUCCACAGGGACACACAGAACUUGGGCCCUACAGCACCCAGACAGUGGCCAGAGGAGUUCACAGAUGGACCUAAGACCUCUAAGAGCGCGAGGAGCCCGGGAGGCGAGGAGCACUUGGGGCUGUCUUGGGGAAAAGGCAGAUGAAAGAGCAACCAGGAGCCUGACAGGGGGUGCCAGCUCUGCCCUGUGUCGGUGGGAGCAAGACAGAAGAGCAGCCAGUGGAUUUGGAAACUCGGCAUCACAUUGGUGACCUUCUGCCCAGCUGCUCUGGGGUGGUGGGCCGGAAGCCAGGCCUGGGGUGGAAAUCUGACCCAAAGGUGAAGGUGGGAGUGUCCGAUGUCUUUGAAACCCUGACAGGAGAAGGAAGGAGGUUUUGGUUUUUCCCUUUAGGUGUUUUUAAAACAGCAGGGAGCUGAGGAUACUUGUCUAGAGGAGAGGGAGAGAUCGGGGAAGAAGGAAAUGGCAUCCUAGAGGCAAAAACCACGUGCUUCAGAGGCUCAGCCGUGUAUUUUGAUGCAUGAACCAGCAUGUCCAUAGCUUCGAGGUUCUGUCAGCCCACGAGGCCCCUGGAGUCUUGGGAGGAGGUAGAACCACGAAGUCCAUGAUGGAACGAGAGACAUUCCUGGGGAUUGAAGCCAAGACCUUCACACUGCUGUACACUCUCAGCCCUUUUUUGUUUUUAUUUUGAGGCAAGGUCUUCCAAAGUCACCAAGUUACAUGGGCUGGGCUAGAGCUUACAAUCCUCCUGCCUCAGCCUUCCAGAGUUACGGGGUUACAGGUCUGCGUCACCAAGGUCAUCGGCUCUUUGUGCCUUUUGAGAGUUUGCAGCAAAAGGCCUGGGGUGGCCCAGAGUCAGCAAAGCCAUGGAGGGAAUAGGAGUUGGCCACAUGCAAAAGAAAGCGAGGCCACGCUGGACACGUUGCCCUGGCCUGCAUGUUUCCUGCAGCCUUGAGGCAAAGACAAACUGCAAAACGGAGUGGUUGCAGGUCACCUUUGAGCUCCAAGCUCAUCCCAAAGCUUCCCCUUUGGACAACUCUUCCCUGGAAGCAGAGCAACACGGCUCUUACGGUGUCCAAGCAGAGCAGCUGUCUCAUAGAUGUGCGAUGCAAGUCAGGGAGAUGGUUGUUUCUUCCAUUCCGGAGAAUCAUUCAGCAAAAUCUCUGGAGCCUUCAUUGGCUGGACCAGGCCAGAAGGAGCUGCCCAGGCCCUGCUGUGGCCCCAGGGCCUGCUGUCCAGGAGACACAAAGAGGGCCGAGGGGCGGGAACCCGGAUGUGUUGCAGCGUCACAGCACCACAGAGAGGCACCAGUGGGCUCAGCCUCAGCUGCGCUGCCCAAGGCCAGGCUUGCAGCUCCCUUCAAGGUGCACACAGACCCCGGCCUCCUGCCCAGUCCCCGAGCCUGCUUGCCUCCUAAAGAGCAAGAUGUCAGAAGGAAGGCAGCACCGAAGAUGUGCAAAUGAAGGGCGGAGAAAGAGAAAACUCCUGGCCAGGGGAUGGAGAUCUGCGUUGUACCAUGGAUCCAGUUAUACCUGAGACAAGUUACCACUGGGCUUUGCAGUAGAGGCCUCCAGAGUCCACCUGACAUCGACCACCUUGAUCCACCAGGGGUGGUGGAACCCAGCAGCGACAUUGACACGAAGCCACCGGGAAAAGGCCUGGCGGGAGCUGGCUACAAUGUUGAUGAAUUGUGGCAAGAAUUGAAUCCAUUCUCUUUAUAUAGCAGACCUCAGAAGCCACAAACCCAGGCAUUAAAGCCCGGGGUUGUGCCACUGGACUCUAAGGUUCAAAUCCCAGCUCUACCAGUUACCAGCUGUGAACAGGGCCCUGGGAAGGCUCCUAUAUCUGUCUCUGGCUCUGCUUCCCAUAAAAUGUUGGGAGAUUUUCAGCACUAAAUGCAUAUAACUUAGCAAGGACAGAGUGAUUUCUGAUUUUAUUAUAACAAAUAUAAAUUUAUGACUUGGUAUUUAUUGGUACCAAGCACACAUACAUUAAUUUAUUAUGUGUAUUACACCCCCGAUUUUCACAAGCAACUCUGUAUAGAGAGAAGAACUCUCGGUCACAUCCUACAGAUGAGGAAACUGAGGCCCAGGGAGGCUAAGUCCAGGUUAAGGUUAAGCUCAAGUUCCCAUGGAGUCAGGACUGGGAAUCUCAGCCGGAUGUGACUGGCUCCAAACGUCAUUCUCUUUGUGCUGCACUGGCCAGAUUGGCUUCUCUCAGCUCCCCAGCCAGUGUGGACCGGAAGCGAGUUCAGCUGGGCACGGCUGAGGAGGGUGGGUUGGGCUGGAACCCCGCCCGCCCAUCCACCCCAGCCACGAGGACUCCAUCGGGCAACUGGGGUGGGUUAGCCUGGUCUUAUACUCAGCAUGCCAGGGCUGUAGAAGUUCACGUGCCCACAACCAUGUGACCUUCCCAGGCAAGCGGGAUCCAGUUACAUCGCAGCAGUGGCCCCAAGGAACAAACACAGCUUGUGUCUUCCUCCAAGGGCUUAUUUCCUUUGUCUUGUGAGCAUUGAAAAAUGAAAGGAAUGAUAAGGAUUUGAUGGGGGGGUGCCCUGGAAAAUUCUGCAGAACUUGGGUAACUCAUCCAGAGGAAAGCAAGGGGGAGUUUUCCAACCAAAUCCAAAGGCAGAGAAACCCAACACGAAGGCCUGAGCCCUGUGAGGUCUCCUGGAUUCCUAGGUUCUCUUUAGAAGGCACAGAGGCCCCAGGCCUGGGGCGGAAGUCCCAUAACCCAGUACUGCCACCAGGCUCCUGUGGACAGACCACGAAAUCUCUCCAGGGCUCAGCUUCCUUGGCUACUCUGCAUCAGUAAUGCCAACUCCCAGGCUCUGGGUUGUUACAAAGAAAUGAGAAACUGUGUGUAGACAGUGGUUCUGCUGGGGGGAUUAACACCCUUGGGGACAUAUGGCAACGUCUGGAAACUUUUUUAGUUGUCACACUGGGAAAAGCAACUGGUGAGUGAAGACCGAGGACACUGCCACACACCACACAGUGCCCAGGACACCCUGCCAAAGAAUGGCCCUCUCCAAAGACCCAGGGUGCUGUGGCUGAGCAAGUGCUGGUGUAGAGUCUCAAAUGUUUAGUUCACAUGCUGAUGUUGGUUUUACUGUUCCAUUGGCGCGCAUGUGGGAAGGGGGACAGGAGAACAGGGUGGCCCAGGAAGAAGGCAGAGCUUGCAUGCCAGCUGCCCCUGGAGACAGAUCUGCUGUCCUCCUUCAGACAAUGUUCACAACCCCUGCCCUCAGGAAGUGUUUGGUCCAGAAGGAGAGACAGCCAGCAGACGAAGCAAGCACUUAAAGAAUACUGGUUCCAAAUAUCCACCAAGAGUGAUGAACGGAGGAUGGUGAUUCAAAAGGAGUGAGGUUUGGACACAGAGGAGUCUUGACAUUAUGCUGAGUGGGAGAAGCCAUCGCUGUGUGACUGCAUUGUUACCAAAAGAGCAGGCAGAUCCUCAGACUGAAAGUAGCUGGUGGUUCCCUGAGCUGAAAGAGUUGAGGAAAAAGGCAGAGAGACCGCUAGUGGCUAUAGAAUUUCCUUCUGGGCCAAUGAGAAUGGUAGUGCUGGCUGCCCAGCUCAAUAAUAUACUGCAUGCCAUGGGACUGCACGCUUUAAUGUGUGAACUGGGAGCUACAUGAAUGAAAGCUUAAUAAAGCCAUUAUAAAUAACAAUAAUACUGAUGAAUGGCUAUACUGAUGAAUGAAAUAAGCAACCAGCAGGGCCAUUGUGCUCAGGGGGGAUACAGAUGGCAGGUGACAUCUAAGGAAGAGACAGAGACUAAGUUCUGGUGCAGGGGACAACAUGAUGUGCAGAGUCCCCAGGGCAUGAGCCCGAUGUGUGGUCCUACAAGGGAUCAGCUGCAUGCACCGUGGAGUGGGAGCUGCAGAGAAAGGUGCAGAGGGCUGACUGGGCAGUGACCUUAGGGACC